rnacentral:rRNA from 1 species
AUACGGAAGGUGCAAGCGUUAAUCGGGGAAUCACUGGGCGUAAAGCGCUCGUAGGUGGCUUUGUAAGUCAGGUGUGAAAGCCCACGGCUCAACCGUGGAAUUGCACUUGAUACUGCAUUGCUUGAGUUCGGGAGAGGGUAGUGGAAUUCCGGGUGUAGGAGUGAGAUCCGUAGAGAUCUGGAGGAACACCAGUGGCGAAGGCGACUACCUGGACCGAUACUGACACUGAGGAGCGAAAGCGUGGGGAGC